CUUACGGUCAAUUCUUGAAAGCCAGCGGAGAACAACUGAUGUACCAAGCCACACGUUUAGAGAAGUUCGUUACAGACAUGUCUUACUCCUUUACGCCAUUUUGUACAUUAUUUUUGCGUUUUAAGUAACUUCAGCUGGAAAUCUUGUUGUGGUGCUCCAGGGGUAUCUUCGUCAUUUCAGGUUGGGUAAUGAGUUAUCUGUGUGUGCAGCGAGACGUUUGGGGUUUCUCAGCCUUUGUUACAUCCAUAGUGGUUGCUGCAAGAUUCUACGUUAUGUGUUAAUAUAUUGAAAUUUUUGGUAUUUGACUUAUGAAUUGUUAAAAAGUAACUAUGCUUCUUAUUAUAGGCUAUGUAACAAAAGAAUGAAUUGUUUUGGCAUUUGAUUUGAGAAACGAAAAUGGUAUUGAAAAUCUUUGUUUGAAUGUUAAAGGAAUAAAGAGGGAAUCAAGUAGAAUCUUCAUCAAACAAAGUGUUUAAGCAGGGAUGGCUAUGACAAACUCAAAGGGACCUUCAACAAUGAGAACAGAUAACGAGCAGCAGUUAACGAACAACAGAAGAUAACGAGCAGCAGAUAACGAGCAGCAGUUAACGAACAACAGUAGAUAACGAGCAACGGUUAAUGAGCAGCAGUUAACCAACAGUGGACAAUAUGAAGUUUGCUUCUUACAGGAGGUUAACCGGAUUCUAGUGUCGAAUCGUCUGGAGCCAUUCUCAAGGCUGGCAAGUGGAAAGUUCACCUACUUCUCAAAGGAUUGCUUACAACCCUUCCAAGAAAGAAUACAGUCAUCUAGCUAACAGAAUGGGGUCCGAGCAUUUAGGAAAACUGCUUUCCAAGCACUUAGAACCUGUCAUUAAGUCUCGAAUCCCAGGCCUCCAGUCUCUCAUUAGCAGAACAAUCCUUGAUUCAUCAUUUCAGCACUUGGAAUCUGUCAUAUGUCCACAUGGU